GAAGUUAUUAUUUACAUCUUUCAAGUGACAGCUUAUUUUGAAAAUAGAAAGCAGUUGCAAGAAUGAGUUAUUUUAAGAAAAAAGCAAAGAAAACGUUGUAGCAAUAAAAAAAAUGCUAAAAAUUAUGGAAUUCAUUGCUGCUGGUAUUUUAUUAAUCGAAGAAGAUGAAUAUUCAAGGAGUAACGCAGAAAAUAUAAAACGACAACUUAGAGACGCCUGCGAUCCCUUUCAGUUGAAUGUUAAGGCGUAAGUGUAAGACAGAUAUCAACAUUUAAAAAUUACAAUUAGGUUUCUUUCAGAUUUAAAAAGAACUUUCCGACAAGCAAAGAUUCCUUUAAAUAUUUGCUAAGAAUAUUGGAUCAAGAGUUCGGUGGCCCGACAAAGAGUUCAUCAAUAACGAGUCUGAGCCGCUUGGUAGCUUUCUUAAGGUUUUUUGCAGAAGGAGGCUACCAACACGGAGUUGGUAAGGACUAUGAUGUCGGAAUGACGCAGCCCACAGUAUCGAAGACAAUAUCGCUGCUAUUAAAUGUUUUUGAAAGGAAGGUUUGCCAAAUCUUGAUAAAUUUUAUUAUGGACGAGUCGGAAGUAGUAGAAGCAAAACAAGAUUUUUACUCAAAGGCAAUGUUUCCAGGAGUAGUAAUGUGUAAUGACGGUACUCACGUUAAAUUAACAGCACCUUCGCCGGAGACGUUUCUAUUUUUCAACCGAAAAGGCUGUUAUAGUCUUAUGGCCUUAUUCAUAAAAAAUAAAAUAGGUUCAAAGAGCUCUCUAAAGUGACAUUUCCAUACAAAAUUUCGAUUUAUAAAGCAGUUAAAGUGUUCUUUAUUUUUUAUGAAUUUGUGUAUUAAUGUAAUGAUAGUAAGUUUGAUAUAAUUAUGUAUAUACAAAGUAGAUAUGUAUGUAUGUAACUUUUGAACGUAACGUUUUAAUUUAUUUUAGAUAUGCGACCAUAAGUUGAGAAUAAGAGCAGUAGAUGCACGGUAUCCAGGACGUAACCAUGAUAGCCAUAUUUGGAAGUUAAGCGGCAAUUUAGAGAAGGAAAUACUAACACGUGGCUUCUUGGCGAUGCCGGCUACCCACUCGAACCUAGGCUUAUGACCCCUUAUAGAAGUGCAGCUGCAGAGUCGCCAGAAAGAAUUUUCAAUGAUUACCAUUCAAAAACACGAAGUGUGGUAGAAAGAAUAAUUGGUGUGUGGAAAAGCCGAUUCCGAUGUGUUUUGGGGGAACGAGCUUUAAAUUAUGUUCCUCUAAAGGCCUGCCAAAUUGUAAACGUGGCUUGUGCUCUCCACAACAUAUGUAUUCACUUCCGCGAUGACCAAUUUGAACCGUUGCCUGAGAGAGAUGAUGUGGAAGAAAUUGAGCCCGAUUAUGACCCGGAAUUUGAGAAUCUUCGGAGUGAUGCUGAACGAACACGCCAAAGAAUUCUUGCAACUUUUGCGUUGUGAGUGUAACCAAACCAUUAGAAAAGCUUUAAAUGUACAUAGUAUUUACCUAGAAUAUAUCUUAUCUGGAAAUAAAUGAAAACUUGUGUCCUUACUUCAA